CUCGACAGAGGAAUUUCCUACUUACAGUUAUUUUGUCAUCUAUUUCUAAUAAGUGUCAGUUUCAGAAACCUUAGAAAAUCAAGACCAAUAAGUUCAACCAACAAGGCAUUUACCUAGUCAUUCAAAUCAAUAGAAAAGAGGAGAGAGAGGCUUCAAGCAGCAUAAAUUGCUUCCUUAUUUCUCUACGAUAGGGUUUUGCAUUACGACCUGACAGUUAGUCAAAUUCAGCCCAAUCCAGACCGCGAGGUAUCCAGGAUUCGACGACGACCACGGGGCAAGUUAUACGACAGACAGAGAAGAGCCGCUAUCGAUAUUCAAAGGGCGCCGCGUCAAACAUUGCUUUCCACAGUUAUUGUUUACACUGAAUCUGCAGGGCAAGGUCAAAUUUUUCAGGCAAUGUGUAGUUUAGAUUCCGCUAGCGUGAGUAAUCUUAUUACUAGUUUGGCAAGACGGUUAAGCAUUAAUUUAAAAAAGCCACAAACAUCAGUAUGAGACAAUGGUUUUUAGGUGGUUAUGCCAUUAUUAUUCGUAGGAAAAUCAGGGCAACAAUAAACUCUACUUAAAAUUAGUCGACAUUAGAUUUUCUGAUAAUUGAUAGAAUUAGGGAAAAAAAUUCUGCGCUUGUUCUUUAAUUUAACAGAUUGCAAACCACCAGCAAACCUCAUUCUAACCAAUCCAGCAGCCAUCUUUUACGACCUUUUAUGCACUAACGAAGUUAGGUCCAGAUUGAUGCGAUUUUGAGUCAUUCUUAAAAUGUAAUCUGAAAGUAAAAUUUAACUGCCUGCGAGAAAUUUGAUGUACAAAUUCAAUUAGAACGUUUUUGGAAGAUACAGAAAUGCCAAACGCCAUCUAACAUUUAUUUCAAAGAAGAAUAUUUUGU